rnacentral:rRNA from 1 species
GUGCCAGCCGCCGCGGUAAUACGAAGGGGGCUAGCGUUGCUCGGAAUUACUGGGCGUAAAGGGCGCGUAGGCGGCUUGAUCAGUCAGGCGUGAAAUUCCUGGGCUUAACCUGGGGGCUGCGCUUGAUACGGUCAGGCUAGAGGUCAGAAGAGGCUCGUGGAAUUCCCAGUGUAGAGGUGAAAUUCGUAGAUAUUGGGAAGAACACCGGUGGCGAAGGCGGCGAGCUGGUCUGAUACUGACGCUGAGGCGCGACAGCGUGGGGAGCAAACAGGAUUAGAUACCCGCGUAGUCC